GGAUCCAGACUUUGAUUCUGGCUCAGGAUGAACGCUAGCUACAGGCUUAACACAUGCAAGUCGAGGGGAAACGAUAUUGGAAGCUUGCUUCCGAUAGGCGUCGACCGGCGCACGGGUGAGUAACGCGUAUCCAACCUGCCCAUCACUUGGGGAUAACCUUGCGAAAGUAAGACUAAUACCCAAUGACGUCUCUAGAAGACAUCUGAAAGAGAUUAAAGAUUUAUCGGUGAUGGAUGGGGAUGCGUCUGAUUAGCUUGUUGGCGGGGUAACGGCCCACCAAGGCGACGAUCAGUAGGGGUUCUGAGAGGAAGGUCCCCCACAUUGGAACUGAGACACGGUCCAAACUCCUACGGGAGGCAGCAGUGAGGAAUAUUGGUCAAUGGGCGAGAGCCUGAACCAGCCAAGUAGCGUGCAGGAUGACGGCCCUAUGGGUUGUAAACUGCUUUUAUAAGGGAAUAAAGUGAGUCUCGUGAGACUUUUUGCAUGUACCCUAUGAAUAAGGACCGGCUAAUUCCGUGCCAGCAGCCGCGGUAAUACGGAAGUCCGGGCGUUAUCCGGAUUUAUUGGGUUUAAAGGGAGCGUAGGCCGGAGAUUAAGCGUGUUGUGAAAUGUAGACGCUCAACGUCUGCACUGCAGCGCGAACUGGUUUCCUUGAGUACGCACAAAGUGGGCGGAAUUCGUGGUGUAGCGGUGAAAUGCUUAGAUAUCACGAAGAACUCCGAUUGCGAAGGCAGCUCACUGGAGCGCAACUGACGCUGAAGCUCGAAAGUGCGGGUAUCGAACAGGAUUAGAUACCCUGGUAGUCCGCACGGUAAACGAUGGAUGCCCGCUGUUGGUCUGAAUAGGUCAGCGGCCAAGCGAAAGCAUUAAGCAUCCCACCUGGGGAGUACGCCGGCAACGGUGCAACUCAAAUGAAUUGACGG
rnacentral:rRNA from 1 species